GAAAAAAAAGGAGAAAGUUACUGUCCUUAAACUUUUUUUUUUUAAAGGUAGUUUGGGCAACAUAUAAUAAAAUUAACAAAACUUCUCUGAGCAUCUUGAGACAUUUCACAGUGUGUGGUGCUGUUCAAGUGACUCCAGAGCUGGUGUUGCCCAUGCAGGCUGAGAUUGGUACCACAUUCAGCAUCUUGGGACUUUGUCAAAGAUGAGCUGUGCUUCAAGUGUUGAACUGGUAACCAGCUGUAGGAAGCCAGUCCUUGGCUCAGUUUUUAACUGAGGAAACUUUAGACAGCAAACCUGCAGGAGAAAUGCCAUGCUGUGUGUUUGUGCUACAUUUUGUCAAGCAAUGGCUGUGUGCUCCCAGGUGAGAGAUGGAAAGGGAUGCAGAGAAUUUAGGGGUGACCCUAUCUUCCUGUACCAUCAGCAUACAUACAGAGAUGUCAUCAAAGAUGUUGUCUCAUCAUGAGAACAAGACACCAGAAAUAAGAUUCCACACUCUACAGAAGCUUUCCUGCAGAGCUGUCGUCAGGAGUGAACCAAGCCUUUUCCAGAGUGUAGC